UUCUGCACGUUGAUGGGCAUUGUGCAGGUAGGGGGCAUGUCCCGGCAGCGAGGUGUGUGCUGCACGAAGAGCUGAGGGGAGAUCGCUCCUGGGACUAGCGCAUCAUCCGCUGCAUGGGGAGAAGAGCCUCUCCUGAAAACGGCUGGCUGAGUCAUUUGCUCUGGAGAAUGGACUUUCAGCAAUAGGAGGAAACAGGGGGAAAGGCGUAAAGAAGACCCUUAUCCCAAGGAAGGAAGAAGAGCAGCUCCCAUGGAGCAUUGUCCAGGCCCUGCCCUGGAGCAGUCUUGUGGACACGUCUUGUUCUGAUGAGUAGCAAACAAGUCAAUUACUGGUGUAUCCCAUUGUCAGAAUAUGUUGUAUAGAAUCGCCGACUAUUUCCCAUUCAUGGUCUUGCAGGAAUUUGUGGCUGCAUGUAAGCUGUCAGGUUGUGUAUUCCCGGUAGGUAGGCCACUGAUAUUAGGACACUGUGGGAGAUGCACCAGUUCCAUAGCUUCAGUGCUUAGACGCACAGGGAAUAAGAUCUGGUGCCUCCCUGUCAGUUUAUGUAGUACAUGCAGGUCAUGUUGUCCGUCAUGACCUUUGUACGCAUGAUCAGCGGGAGGAAGUGAGCGCACGUGUUUCGACUGCUCUGAGCUUGAGCAAGUUGAUGUGGUGGCACGUCUCUGCUGGAGACCAUUUGCCAUGUAUUGUGUGACCAUUGAGAUGCACUCCCCAUCCUAUGAGGGAUGUGUCGGUGGUCAGAAGGGAUGGGGAAGACUGAGCAAAUGGGAUUCCAUACAGAUGUUUAUUGGGAAACAAAUUCUUCUGUUUUCUUUAUUACCAUUACACAAGCACUUAGAGGCUGCAAUUGGGAUCAGGGCCCCAUUGCUUGACCCUGGUGGGCAUUGAUAAAAGCUUGCCCAUGUUGUCUCUAUUCGGCCUGUAAACUGAACCGAACCAUGCUUGGAGGCAUCUCAUAUGUAAUCUGGCAUGAGCAAUAAUAAGUGAUGUGCCCACGGCCAUGUGCCCCAGAAGCUAAAGACAAUGUCCGGCCAAGAUUUGGGAACUGGAUUGUAUUGUCUCUAUCAACGAGGAGAGACUGAAAAAUCUGUGAUAUAAAAGGAGUGCCCUCGACUGAAUGAAGUCAAGUUCAGCUGCGAUGAAUUCUAGUCUUUGAACCUGUGUUAAGGUCAAUUUUUGUUCAUUGAUCUGUAGGCCCAGAUUCAGAAACAGGUGACUUGUUGGGCCUCUGUGCAAGACCGUGCCCUGAGAAGGCAAUCAUCUAGGUAGGGAUAAAUCAUCACGACCUGAGAGUAUAAGUGGGCCACUACUACGGGAGGAUCUUGGAGAACACUCUGGGAGCCAAUGAGAGGCCGAAAGGGAGUACUCUGUACUGGUAGUGGUCCUGGCCCAGCAUGAAUCUGAGCUAACGCCUGUGACUUGGUAUGAUAGAAAUGUGGAAGUAUGAGUCUUGAAGGUCGAGGACCGAAAACCAAUUGGGAUGAUCACUGAUAGGGUGACCAUCUUGAAUUUCUGUGCUUUGACAUAUUUGUUGAGCACUCUGAGGUUCAGUAUAGGUCUCCAAACUCCCCUUUUCUUUGGUAUCAGGAAGUAACAAGAGUAGAAGCCUUUGCCUCUGAGAUGUACGGGCACAGGUUCUAUAGCUCCUAUGCUGAGGAGACUGUUUACCUCUUGACAUAGUAGACUUAUGAGAUGGAUACCUGAAGAGGGACAGGGAAGGGUGUUUGGGAAGGGAAAGGGAGGAGGUGAAUGGCAUAUCCAUUCUGGAUGAUUUCCAACACCUACUUGUUGGAGCUUAUCUGUUCCCAGAUGCUGUGGAAAGGGGUAAAGCGGUCUCCAAAAGGAGGAGUGGGGUUUCCCAUCAUAAGGUGGCAAGGACAGUGUUUUACAGGCACCUCAACCAACCCAUCAAAACUGCUGCUUCAAGGUUGAGGGCUGAGAUGAAGUCAGUUGUAGCCCUGAUUCCUUUUGCUUGAUUUCUUACUCUGUGGCUCAUAAGAUCUCUGUGACAAGUACUGAGGCAUGUACUGCAAUGACUGGGGCUUAAACGGUGGCUGAGGGCUGUAUUUUCUCUCAUAGGCCAGCACGUAUAUCCCUAGGAAACAAAGGGUCACCCAAGAAUUCUUCUACACGUGAACGGACGCAUCUGUCUUUUCGGCAAACAGAUUCAUUCCCUCAAAGGGAAGGUCCUCCACUAUGGUUUGGACCUCUUUAAGGAAGCAGAACAACUGCAGCCACGACGCCCUUCUCAUAACCACGGCCGUAGAAAUAGACAUGGCAGACACGGUGACACGUUCAAAUGCGGACUGGAGAGAUUGUUUUGCCACCAGCUGGCCCUUGUUAAUUACUGCCAUAAAUUGGUCUUUGUGGGAGUUCAGGAGCUGAUCAAUAAAAGAAGCUAGUUUCA